GAUGAACGCUGGCGGCAUGCCUAAUACAUGCAAGUCGAACGGUAUCUUCGGAUACAGUGGCGAACGGGUGAGUAACACGUAGGGAACCUGGCCGCGCCAGAGGGAUAAUUUCUGGAAACGGAAACUAAAACCUCAUAGGAAGAGGGAAGGCAUCUUUCCUGUUUUAAAAGGGCUUUAAGGCCCUGGGAGCGGAUGGACCUGCGGAGCAUUAGCUUGUUGGUGAGGCAAAGGCUCACCAAGGCGAUGAUGCAUAGCCGGCCUGAGAGGGCGGACGGCCACACUGGGACUGAGAGACGGCCCAGACUCCUGCGGGAGGCAGCAGUAGGGAAUUUUCGUCAAUGGGGGGAACCCUGAACGAGCAAUGCCGCGUGAGCGAGGAAGGUCUUCGGAUCGUAAAGCUCUGUUGCCGGGGACAAAAGGCAGGAAGAGGAAAUGCUUUCUGAUUGAUGGUACCCGGCCAGAAAGUCACGGCUAACUACGUGCCAGCAGCCGCGGUAAUACGUAGGUGGCAAGCGUUAUCCGGAAUGAUUGGGCGUAAAGGGUGCGCAGGCGGCCUUUUAAGUCAUGAGUGAAAGGUGGAAGCUUAACUUCCAUUGGCUGAUGAAACUGAGAGGCUUGAGUACAGGAGAGGACGGCGGAACUCCAUGUGUAGCGGUAAAAUGCGUAGAUAUAUGGAAGAACACCAGUGGCGAAGGCGGCCGUCUGGACUGAAACUGACGCUGAGGCACGAAAGCGUGGGGAGCAAAUAGGAUUAGAUACCCUAGUAGUCCACGCCCUAAACGAUGAGGAGCAGGUGUCGCAAUGAAAUGCGGUGCCGAAGCCAACGCAGUGACUCCUCCGCCUGGGGAGUAUGCACGCAAGUGUGAAACUCAAGGGAAUUGACGGGGGCCCGCACAAGCGGUGGAGUAUGUGGUUUAAUUCGAAGCAACGCGAAGAACCUUACCAGGCCUUGACAUGGGAAGCGAAGACCAAGAGAUUGGUUGGAGGUUAACUUCCACACAGGUGGUGCAUGGUUGUCGUCAGCUCGUGUCGUGAGAUGUUCAGUUAAGUCUGGCAACGAGCGCAACCCCCGUGGUACGUUGCCAUCAUCAAGUUGGGAACUCAUACCAGACUGCCGGUGACAAACCGGAGGAAGGCGGGGAUGACGUCAAAUCAUCAUGCCCCUUAUGGCCUGGGCUACACACGUACUACAAUGGCGCGAACAGCGAGAAGCGAACCUGCGAAGGGAAGCGAAUCUGAAAAGCGCGUCACAGUCCGGAUUGAAGUCUGCAACCCGACUUCAUGAAGAUGGAAUCGCUAGUAAUCGCGGAUCAGCAUGCCGCGGUGAAUACGUUCCCGGGCCU
rnacentral:rRNA from 1 species